UACGAAGGGGGCUAGCGUUGUUCGGAUUUACUGGGCGUAAAGCGCACGUAGGCGGAUCGUUAAGUCAGGGGUGAAAUCCUGGAGCUCAACUCCAGAACUGCCUUUGAUACUGGCGAUCUUGAGUCCGGAAGAGGUGAGUGGAACUCCUAGUGUAGAGGUGGAAUUCGUAGAUAUUAGGAAGAACACCAGUGGCGAAGGCGGCUCACUGGUCCGGUACUGACGCUGAGGUGCGAAGCGUGGGAGCAAACAGG
rnacentral:rRNA from 1 species